AAUGAACGCUGGCGGCAGGCCUAACGCAUGCAAGUCGAACGGAUCCUUCGGGAUUAGUGGCGGACGGGUGAGUAACGCGUGGGAACAUACCCUUUGGUACGGAAUAGCCUCGGGAAACUGGGAGUAAUACCGUAUGUGGCCGAGAGACGAAAGAUUUAUCGCCAAAGGAUUGGCCCGCGUUGGAUUAGGUAGUUGGUGGGGUAAUGGCCUACCAAGCCGACGAUCCAUAGCUGGUUUGAGAGGAUGAUCAGCCACACUGGGACUGAGACACGGCCCAGACUCCUACGGGAGGCAGCAGUGGGGAAUCUUAGACAAUGAGGGAAACCCUGAUCUAGCCAUGCCGCGUGAUCGAUGAAGGCCUUAGGGUUGUAAAGAUCUUUCAGGUGGGAAGAUAAUGACUGUACCACCAGAAGAAGCCCCGGCUAACUCCGUGCCAGCCGCCGCGGUAA
rnacentral:rRNA from 1 species